rnacentral:rRNA from 1 species
AUUGAACGCUGGCGGCAGGCCUAACACAUGCAAGUCGAGCGGAUGAAGCGAGCUUGCUCCUGGAUUCAGCGGCGGACGGGUGAGUACUGCCUAGGAAUCUGCCUGGUAGUGGGGGAUAACGUCCGGAAACGGGCGCUAAUACCGCAUCCGUCCUGAGGGAGAAAGUGGGGGAUCUUCGGACCUCACGCUAUCAGAUGAGCCUAGGUCGAAUUAGCUAGUUGGUGGGGUAAAGGCCUACCAAGGCGACGAUCCGUAACUGGUCUGAGAGGAUGAUCAGUCACACUGGAAGUGAGACACGGUACAGACUCCGACGGUAGGCAGCAGUGGGGAAUAUUGGGCGAGGGGCGAAAGCCUGAUCCAGGCAUGCCGCGGGUGGGAAGAAGGUCUUCGGAUUGGAAAGCACUUUAAGUUGGGAGGAAGGGCAGUAAGUUAAUACCUUGCUGUUUUGACGUUACCAACAGAAUAAGCACCGGCUAACUUCGUG